rnacentral:rRNA from 1 species
GAUGAACGCUGGUGGCGUGCCUAAUACAUGCAAGUCGAGCGAACAGACGAGGAGCUUGCUCCUCUGACGUUAGCGGCGGACAGGUGAGUAACACGUGGAUAACCUACCUAUAAGACUGGGAUAACUUCGGGAAACCGGAGCUAAUACCGGAUAAUAUAUUGAACCGCAUGGUUCAAUAGUGAAAGACGGUUUUGCUGUCACUUAUAGAUGGAUCCGCGCCGCAUUAGCUAGUUGGUAAGGUAACGGCUUACCAAGGCAACGAUGCGUAGCCGACCUGAGAGGGUGAUCGGCCACACUGGAACUGAGACACGGUCCAGACUCCUACGGGAGGCAGCAGUAGGGAAUCUUCCGCAAUGGGCGAAAGCCUGACGGAGCAACGCCGCGUGAGUGAUGAAGGUCUUCGGAUCGUAAAACUCUGUUAUUAGGGAAGAACAAAUGUGUAAGUAACUAUGCACGUCUUGACGGUACCUAAUCAGAAAGCCACGGCUAACUACGUG